rnacentral:lncRNA from 1 species
CUCCCUCCCUCAGUCUGGUCUCUUCUUGGGGAAAUUCCAGAGCUGGAAAGCCAGGGGACAGCCAGGAAUCCCUUUUUUCAUAAGGUGUGGGACUAUUUCCUUGUCUAAUGUUGGCUCAGACAGAGCCCUGACCAGUGCUCGUGGGAGGUUCACUCGCUAUACUUUGUGUAACAAAAUAAACACACGCAUGCAUGUGCAGGCAAGCACAUGCCGCACAGACCUAGAUGCAGUCCAGGCUGCAGCCCAGGGUCAGAAAUGCAAUGAACCAGCAAAUCACCCUUAGGAAGGGAGACAGAGAGCUCAAUGGUAUAACAUCUUCCUAGCUGGUUUGGGGUAGGGGGGUGGCACAGUGGGGGGAGCUUUUUAAAAUCUUAUGUAAGUUGUGGAUCCUCUCUCCGGAGAACCACAAGGUGCUUAAUAAAGGUUGGGUGGAUGGAUGGAUAGAUGGAUGCAUAGAUAGAUGGAAGAAAGAAUGAAAGAUUGGUUGGGAAAAUGGGGGAUGAGAGAAGGGAUGAAUGGGAAGGCAAUUGAAUAAGAGGUUGAUGGUUGGUUUGAUGGGUGGAUGGAUGGAUGGAUGGAUGGAUGGAUGGAUGGGUAGGUGGAUGGGUAGGUGGAAGAGUGAAUGGCUGUGGGCAUGAAUAUGUGAGAGCAUGAGUGAAUGAAUGAAUCAGUGAGCCAUUAGGUGAAUGGGGGGAAGAGUAAAUGAGUGAAUGAAUGAAUAAAUGCUUGAGUGAGUAAACAAGUUAGUACCUGGGUAAAUGAACUUCUAGUCCAGACUGAAAACAUAGUUCAUUGUUACCUUCCUUAGGUGCAAGGAACCUUUCAGAAGAAAGCAGGAAGGAAGAGAGAGUGGCCUGAAUCUUGGAUGACCACACUUUCAAGCCUCUGUAAGGAAGUGCCCUCUUCGCUUCCGGGAGAGCCGCGCGU